UACGGAGGGGGGCUAGCGUUGUUCGGAAUUACUGGGCGUAAAGCGCACGUAGGCGGCUUUGCAAGUUAGAGGUGAAAGCCCGGGGCUCAACUCCGGAAUUGCCUUUAAAAACUGCAUCGCUAGAAUUGUGGAGAGGUAAGUGGAAUUCCGAGUGUAGAGGUGAAAUUCGUAGAUAUUCGGAAGAACACCAGUGGCGAAGGCGACUUACUGGACACAUAUUGACGCUGAGGUGCGAAAGCGUGGGGAGCAAACAGG
rnacentral:rRNA from 1 species